rnacentral:rRNA from 1 species
UACGUAGGGACCGAGCGUUGUCCGGAUUUAUUGGGCGUAAAGAGCGUGUAGGCGGCCAUGUAGGUCCGUUGUGAAAACUCGAGGCUCAACCUCGAGACGCCGAUGGAAACCAUGUGGCUAGAGUCCGGAAGAGGAGAGUGGAAUUCCCGGUGUAGCGGUGAAAUGCGCAGAUAUCGGGAAGAACACCCGUGGCGAAGGCGGCUCUCUGGGACGGUACUGACGCUGAGACGCGAAAGCGUGGGGAGCGAACAGG